rnacentral:tRNA from 1 species
UAGAAGAAUGCCUGAGUUAAAAAGGAUUAUUUUGAUGUAAUAAAUUACGUUUUUUAAAACUUUUUCU